rnacentral:rRNA from 1 species
UACGAAGGGGGCUAGCGUUGCUCGGAAUCACUGGGCGUAAAGGGUGCGUAGGCGGGUUUUUAAGUCAGAGGUGAAAUCCUGGAGCUCAACUCCAGAACUGCCUUUGAUACUGGAAGUCUUGAGUAUGGGAGAGGUGAGUGGAACUGCGAGUGUAGAGGUGAAAUUCGUAGAUAUUCGCAAGAACACCAGUGGCGAAGGCGGCUCACUGGCCCAUUACUGACGCUGAGGCACGAAAGCGUUGGGGAGCAAACAGG